GACGAACGCUGGCGGCGUGCUUAACACAUGCAAGUCGAACGGAAAGGCCCUGCCUGCAGGGUACUCGAGUGGCGAACGGGUGAGUAACACGUGGGUGAUCUGCCCUGCACUUCGGGAUAAGCCUGGGAAACUGGGUCUAAUACCGGAUAGGAGCCAUUUUUAGUGUGAUGGUUGGAAAGUUUUUUCGGUGUAGGAUGAGCUCGCUGCCUAUCUGCUUGUUGGUGGGGUAAUGGCCUACCAAGGCGGCGACGGGUAGCCGGCCUGCGAGGGUGGACGGCCACAAUGGGACUUAGAUACGGCCCAGACUCCUACGGGAGGGAGCAGGGGGGAAUAUUGCACAAUGGGCGCAAGCCUGAUGCAGCGACGCCGCGGGGGGGAUGACGGCCUUCGGGUUGUAAACUCCUUUCGCUAGGGACGAAGCUUUUUGUGACGGUACCUAGAUAAGAAGCACCGGCUAACUACGUG
rnacentral:rRNA from 1 species